UGUACUUGCUUCACGUUGAGCCUCACGCACAAUACCUGAAGAUGAAGUUUUGUUCGUUCGGCUCGCGUUAUGCAGGU
rnacentral:pre_miRNA from 2 species